GACGAACGCUGGCGGCGUGCCUAAUACAUGCAAGUAGAACGCUGAAGGAGGAGCUUGCUCUUCUGGAUGAGUUGCGAACGGGUGAGUAACGCGUAGGUAACCUGCCUGGUAGCGGGGGAUAACUAUUGGAAACGAUAGCUAAUACCGCAUAACAGUAGAUGUUGCAUGACAUUUGCUUAAAAGGUGCAAUUGCACCACUACCAGAUGGACCUGCGUUGUAUUAGCUAGUUGGUGGGGUAACGGCUCACCAAGGCGACGAUACAUAGCCGACCUGAGAGGGUGAUCGGCCACACUGGGACUGAGACACGGCCCAGACUCCUACGGGAGGCAGCAGUAGGGAAUCUUCGGCAAUGGACGGAAGUCUGACCGAGCAACGCCGCGGGAGUGAAGAAGGGUGUCGGAUCGUAAAGCUCUGUUGUAAGAGAAGAACGAGUGUGAGAGUGGAAAGUUCACACUGUGACGGUAGCUUACCAGAAAGGGACGGCUAACUACGUG
rnacentral:rRNA from 1 species